rnacentral:rRNA from 1 species
GACGAACGCUGGCGGCGCGCCUAACACAUGCAAGUCGAACGGAGUCAAGAGGAGCUUGCUUUUCUUGACUUAGUGGCGAACGGGUGAGUAACGCGUGAGUAACCUGCCCUGGAGUGGGGGACAGCAGUUGGAAACGACUGCUAAUACCGCAUAAGCCCACGGAUCCGCAUGGAUCUGCGGGAAAAGGAUUUAUUCGCUUCAGGAUGGACUCGCGUCCAAUUAGCUAGUUGGUGAGGUAACGGCCCACCAAGGCGACGAUUGGUAGCCGGACUGAGAGGUUGAACGGCCACAUUGGGACUGAGACACGGCCCAGACUCCUACGGGAGGCAGCAGUGGGGGAUAUUGCACAAUGGGGGAAACCCUGAUGCAGCGACGCCGCGUGGAGGAAGAAGGUUUUCGGAUUGUAAACUCCUGUCGUUAGGGACGAUAAUGACGGUACCUAACAAGAAAGCACCGGCUAACUACGUG